GUGAACUUUAGUUAAUAUUGAUGUGUCAGUAUUGGUUCACUAGUUGUGACAAAUGUAAGUUAGACUAAUGUAAGAUGUUAAUAAGGAGACUGGGUAUGCAAAUAUAUGGGAGCUGUGUACUAGAUUUGCAAUUCUGUGUCUCUACAACUCUUCUGACAUAAAUAGUUUAUGAACACAAUUAAACUUACAACUAAAUAACAUUUAAAAUAAAGGUGAUAAAUAUUAGAAAAACAUUGAAACUUUUUUACUUCACAAGGUUGUUUUGAAUAUUAAAAAGGCAUUGAAAUAAAAUGUGAGCACCAAGGGAACUGUGACUGAGCAUCUUGGUCCCAAAGCUCAGGCCACAGAUUCACAUGCCUGAAUGUGUUCCAGUACCUCUCCCUGAAAAGGAGCACGUGACAAGCGUACCCAUGAAACUCUCACCGUCACCAUUGUGAUCCUUCCAUUCCAAUAAGCUUUCUGGAAGGAAGGGAAAGAGCCACGUUUGGUGUAUAACCUGCUCCCUGUCUUGUCCCGGCUUUUAGUGAGGACCACAGAACUUAAAUGCUCAUGGCAAUUUGGCAUUAUAGUAGAACUGUCUGCUUGUGAUUUUUUUUAACCUUUGUUCUUUUUACCUUUACCUGGGAAUGGACACAUUUUGACAAGAAAGCAAGACAUACACUGUAGCUGAGAACAGUACAUUGUGUUCUCAGAGGUGGCAGCAUUUCGUUUACAAAACAUCAAGUCAAUGUUGUAUCUGAGUAAAUAACUCAAUACACAUUUCUGUUUCAGUUAGUAAGUCAGAGGAAGCUGGAGAUUAUGCAAGUGAAUCGGAAGAAUGCUAUUCAUUUUAGCAAAUGUCGAAAAUUUAUAAAGUCUAGAUAUUAAAACAGUAAAAUAAAAUUUAUUUGUGGUCAUUCUUUUGUAGGUCCUGUUUGCUUACCUUACAAAUGGGAUGGAAGUCUGGAAAAAUCGACACUUAGGAAAACAAAUCUGAUUACUACAUUUACUUUACAUCUGCUUUUCAGGGACCACAGGGAUCUCCCCCCCACACUGGUAACAUGUCAGAUGCACACGGCCACACACGCUCAGCUCUGCCGACUGUCUCGGCAGUCCUGGGUGUGCCCGUGGGGAAGGUCCUACAUGCAAGGGAGCAUUUCUCAGGGUGGAGAGAAUGCUAAGUAGCACUGCUUUAAGAUGGUGCUUCACAAGAACCUUUGCAUAUUUGAACAGGUCAUUGCAAAGAUGGGGGUGGCUCCUUGACCUGAUGGCCCCCAGGAAGAAGGUGACCCAGGCAUGGCACACACCUGUCCAUGGUGGCAGUCCCAGAGAGCAGAGCACGAGAGCAUGUCGCUGUCUUGCUCUGCCAUGUUUUUCAAAGCCAGGAGAUUUAGUCCAUAUGUUUAAAUUUCUACUUGGCUGAUUGCCUUGUGCAGUUGAUAUGUAUAAUACAAUAAAAACAAUUUUUAAAUCUGUUUUGGAGCAAACUUGAAUGG